rnacentral:rRNA from 1 species
AGUGAACGCUGGCGGCAGGCCUAACACAUGCAAGUCGAGCGGCAGCGCGGGGCAACCUGGCGGCGAGCGGCGGACGGGUGAGGAAUUCGUCGGAAUCUGCCUUUUUGUGGGGGAUAACGUAGGGAAACUUACGCUAAUACCGCAUACGACCUACGGGUGAAAGUGGGGGACCGCAAGGCCUCACGCAGAAAGAUGAGCCGACGACCGAUUAGCUAGUUGGUGGGGUAAAGGCCCACCAAGGCGACGAUCGGUAGCUGGGCUGAGAGGAUGAUCAGCCACACUGGGACUGGGACACGGCCCAGACUCCGACGGGAGGCAGCAGUGGGGAAUAUUGGACAAUGGGCGCAAGCCUGAUCCAGCCAUGCCGCGUGUGUGAAGAAGGCCUUCGGGUUGUAAAGCACUUUUGUCCGGAAAGAAAUCUUCCAACUUAAUACGUUGGGAGGAUGACGGUACCGGAAGAAUAAGCACCGGCUAACUUCGUGCCAGCCACCGCCGUAACAC